AAUCAACGCUGGCGGCGUGCCUCAGACAUGCAAGUCGAACGAUUAAGACUCUCUUCGGAGAGUGUAUAAAGUGGCGCACGGGUGAGUAACACGUAGGUAAUGUACCGAAGGGUGGGGAAUAACUUAGGGAAACUUAAGCUAAUACCGCAUAAUGCAGCGGCUCGACAUCGAGACAGUUGUUAAAGGAGCAAUCCGCCUUUUGAGCAGCCUGCGGCAGAUUAGCUAGUUGGUAAGGUAAUGGCUUACCAAGGCUACGAUCUGUAACCGACCUGAGAGGGUGGUCGGUCACACUGACACUGAAUAACGGGUCAGACUCCUACGGGAGGCAGCAGUCGGGAAUUUUGGGCAAUGGGCGAAAGCCUGACCCAGCAACGCCGCGUGAAGGAUGAAGUAUUUCGGUAUGUAAACUUCGUAAGAAUAGGAAGAAUAAAUGACGGUACUAUUUAUAAGGUCCGGCUAACUACGUGCCAGCAGCCGCGGUAAU
rnacentral:rRNA from 1 species